GGGGCUGUGGCUCAGUGGUAGAAUGGUUGCUUGGUGUGUGGAAGGUCCCUGGUUCAAUCCUUGGAGGCUCCG
rnacentral:tRNA from 1 species